AGGCCAGAGGGGGAGAAGCGGUUCCCAUACUAUCCUCAAGUCAUGAGGGAGGACAGCCUGUGUUCGGGCCACGUUUCAUCCUUGGGACCACGAGAGCCGUACGCAGGGAGGAGCAUCCUGUGUCCUGUGAGAAGUGUGCCCGAGAGGCGGCCUACAUGACGCUGGCUCCCAGGGAGAGGAGGAAGAGGAGGAGAAGGGGAAGGAGGAGCACAACGGGAGGAGGAGGGCAGAGGACGCCCGGCUGUCCUCAAAGGGCUACCAACUCAUCCUCCGAGGGAAAGAGAAUCUUCAAGGCUCCUGAGACACCGCCCUGAACCAUUUCCUACCUUUUGUCUUUCUUCUCUUCUCUUCUCUUCUUGUCUCUGUCUCUUUCUCUUUCUCUCUCUCCUCCCUUCCAGUUUUGCUUUUGAGGAAUGAACUUAUUAUGAAAAUUCACAUUAAUAAUAAAAGUUCAAUCAAUACAAAAGGACA